CUCGAGGAAAAAUAAGACACGUGUAAGAUUCUUAUUUUCAUUUUCUUUUUGAUCCUCCCACAUAUGGUUAAAACGGGACUUUUUAACUCUGGUUCAAAGUACAUACUCCUUAAUUAUUUUUUUAAGCUGCUUCAUUGAGGUAUUGGAGAAAGAACACGGUCUUGCUGGUUGGUAGGAAAUGGAAAAUAAACAACAGUCUUCAGUGUUUACAUCACUUAGCCGACCCAUAUAUCCACCACAACCUCCUCCCUUCAAGGUUUUGCCUUUUUACAGACAAUGUAGUUCAACUUCCAACUUCUUUCCCAGCACAUGGGAGUCAAUAAGUCACACUGCUGCUGCUAGAGAUCCUUGUCAGCUAAAUAUAAACACGGGUCAUUUAAAGUUCAUCCUCUUCCUCUUUAACAGUGUUACAAACUGUUAAUUUCUAUAGAAACUGCUCAUAACACACACUUAAUCCAUGCUGUUUGUGUGCACAGGUGAAUAUGUGUGGGAUGGGGUUGUUUUUUUUUGUUUUUUUUUUUGGCUACAUUGAACAUAGUCUCCAAGUCCUUAAAGGAAAUGCAUGAAGGCUGCCAGUUCUUACUGUCUGUGCCUAAAGUACAGUUAUACUAGCUGUCUGUUUAACAAAACUGACCCAUAUAUAGCCUGUCUGACGGAUGUAUUGCCUGGUUACUAUAUACAGGCACUAAACAUUGAGCUGCAGGUACAAGCAUACACAUAACAAUGACAGGACGGUUUGUGCAUGGUAAUAUUGGCAGCAGAAAUAUGGCACUAAAUUUUCAUAAUGUCUCUCUUGUAGACACAAUAAGGUACGCAACGCGAGCAAAUGCGGAACUGUACAAAAAGACAGACAUGUUGUAUUUGAUGCUUUCGGCCUGAGAUUGCAUGCAAAAUGGGAAAAUAAGCGCUUUGUGUUCACGCUGUCCUUGGUUUAAGAUGCUGGGGGGAGAAAAAAAUUAACUUUUUAAUGUGUUUCUUUUCUUUUACUUUAUUUUAAAUCAACAGGCUAGCAUAACGCUACGUUAACCAGGUGAGCCUUGAUUUGUUAUGAAGCGUACUGAAAGUGAGAGAGACUCU
ensembl:lncRNA